rnacentral:lncRNA from 1 species
GGAUGAUGGCAUGGGCGGGAGGAGGAAGAAGGGCAUCAAGGAUAAGAUCAAGGAGAAGCUUCCGGGUGGCCACGGUGACCAGCAGCAGACCGCUGGCACCUACGGGCAGCAGGGUCACACAGGAAUGACCGGCACUGGGGCGCAUGGCACCACGGCCACUGGCGGCACCUACGGGCAGCAGGGAGACACCGGAAUGACCGGCACGGGGACGCACGGCACCGACGGCGCCGGCGAGAAGAAAGGCAUCAUGGACAAGAUCAAGGAGAAGCUGCCCGGACAGCACUGAGCCCGUCCCACGGCAGCUACUUGAGAGUUGAGGUGCCGAUCUGGCCACCUUUGCAGAAUAAUAAGAUGGAGAUGCAGUAAAACAUCCCGAAAUAAAGUGAGCUAGCUCACUUGUAAUAUCUGAGUUCUGAGUUUGCUGCACUAGAAUUUGGGUUGCUUGUAUGUGCCCGGGACGUUUUGUACUCUGUACUUCGAUGUGUGAUUUUUUUUUGGUUUCACUGUGUAUGUAUGGGGAUGUGUAUCGUGGUAUAAUACAAUAUAUUUUGCCCUUUUACUUGAGCAACUUUUGAAAAUUUCUAGGCAAUUUUUGGAAGUAUCGAAAAAUAAGGCACACCAAAAAUACACAUACAGAUCUUGAAUUUACCAACUCAGAGGAUGUCGCAUGCGCUGUGGAUCGUUAAUGAACGGCACUGUCGGAGAUCAACAAAACAGAGUGCAUAGCGACCAAAGGAAAAUCCGCACCACCGAAAGUUUUCUUCUAUGCUCGAGCUCACAUGCACACUGAUGAAUAGUAAAAUAUAAAUAAAUAAAUUUUAAAGAUCUGAUUUUUUUUACACACACCGAUGAAUGUUUUACCUACCUGCAAAGUUUUCAUAAUGGAUUGAUAUUUGUGGUGGUCAGGGCAAUAAAAACAAAAUCAAUGCUUCAAAAUUAGUCUUUUUGGAGCAUUUGAUUUUUCGUUUUGCCCAGAGCUCCACGAAAGUGAUUUCAUCACGAAAGUUUGCAUGCAUGCAAAACAGUUAUUAGUGUUUAUUAAAAACGGACAUAAUUGUUUGAUUUUUCUUUGAUUUUACUGUUCAUAUGGGUGCAUAUAAGCUCGGGAUUAGAAGCUCCAUGUUCACCCACCAUUUAAUUGAUUCAUACACAAACUUUUUUUCUCGAAUACAUAUGAAUGUGCGUGCUUUAUAUUAAAGAAGAGAGGGGGGCGGCAAAGAGCCCUUCCACGACGGGUUUAGUAGUUCUUACAUACAGCCAACUCCAUGCCCACUCCACGUCUAAGUCAAUCUAUUGCUAACUCCUCGCGUCACUACCCACCGUUAGAGCUACUAAGAAACUAUCAAUGUCCGUCUUGAUAAUGCCCGCCGUCUUCCAUGAUCUACGCUCAACCUCUAUUCUAUGAAUUAUGCUUUUCAAAGACAGUGUGGCGCCGUCGAAUACGAUCGCAUUGCGGUGCUUCCAUUCAAGAACAACAAAACGAUCCACUAAUCUCUAGAUUAAGAGUAUGCAUCCCCAUAAGUUCAUCCACCAUGCAACUCAACAAAAAGCUCGUCUCGCUACACCUCCAACAUGCAACAACGUGCAUCACUGUCCACCCUAUACGCCUCAGAAGCGACAGUGCUCCAACACCCCUUGAGAUAUUAUGUGCCCCGAUCUACAUCCUCCCUCCCCGAGGCGCUCCCGCGGGCGCCCCGGGAGAAAACCCUAGCGCCGCCCCCUUCGCCUCAACCUCCUCCCUCGCUGCCGCCUGGGGCGUCACCGGCGAAAGGCCGUGUGGCGUUGGUCGCGGCGGGGCGGCUCUCUCCCGCACGUAGUUGGGACUCCGCGGGGCGUUCCCAUCUGCCUGGUGGUGCCGGGCGUCGGGCCGGCCCUGCCUCCGCUCCUUCUCCCCUCCCAGCAUCCCUCGCUGGCGCCGCCUCAUCCCCUCUGUCGGUGUCAAAACCGGCGGAUCUCGGGUAGGGGGUCCCGAACUGUGCGUCUAAGGUCGAUUGUUUGCAGGAGACGGGGGACACGAUGUUUACCCAGGUUCAGGCCCUCUUUAUGGAGGUAAUACCCUACUUCCUGCUUGAUUGAUCUUGAUGAAUAUGAGUAUUACAAGAGUUGAUCUACCACGAGAUCAUAAUGGCUAAACCCUAGAAGUCUAGCCUGGAUGACUAAGGUAAUGAGUCUCCUCCUAUCCGGACUACGCUCUCCGGUUUAUAUAGGCACCGGAGAGAUCUAGGGUUACAUGGAGUCGGUUACAUAGAAAGGAAUCUACACGAUUGAUCGCCACGCUUGCCUUCCACGCCAAGGAGAGUCCUCUCCGGACACGGGAGCCGUCUUCGGUCUUCGUAUCUGUACAGCCCAUCAGUCCGGCCCACGGAUAACAGGCCGGACGCCCGAGGACCCCUUAGUCCAGGACUCCCUCAGUAGCCCCUGAACCUGACUUCAAUGACGAGGAGUCCGGCGCGCAGAUCUGUCUUCGGCAUUGCAAGGCGGAUUCCCUUCUAUCCGGACCCCAAGGUAAUCUUCAGAUGUAACAAUUGUAUCCGGACCUGUAUACAUAACUGCAGAGGAUAUAUAAUAUUUCACGAGUCCGAUCCGCUGGCAACUUUUCGGUAAUAUGACGUCACACCUGCUCGGCCAUUAUUUUCGAAUCGUUCUGGCUGGCCCGCCGUCCCACGUUUCGAGACGUGGUUCUAUUGGCACGUCUUAUCCAAGCGGCGAUCAUGUCCUUCUUUUAAGGGAUUCUUAUCAACCCAGACAUGGGUAAUCCAACCGUCACUUGGGCACAACUGCUUGGGAAUGGGCAAGUUUUGAGGCCCAGGAGGAGACGUUCGAUAUUUGCGGUCUUUAUAUAGGGGUACAGACCCGUCUUUUUCUUUCACGCUUGCUUCUCCCUCAACCCCCGCUACCUCGAGUUCCAACACCCGGGUUUCAAUCUCCACAAGCUCCAAUCAUGUCCGGAUCCAACCGUCAAGGCCGGUGGGUGGCUUCUUCUAUCACAGAGGGAGAGAUCGCAAAGCUUCGGGCGGCGAGGUACUUGACCGCGGAAAUCCUUCAUCGGCUUCCUGCAGAGGGGUAGGUUAUUCCCACUCCCAGAUCCAGCGAGAGGGUCGUGUUCGUGUCCCACUUCCUACGCGGGUUAGGGUUUGCACUUAACCCCUUUGUCCGGGGGCUCAUGUUCUAUUAUGGGCUAGAUUUUCAUGAUCUGGCCCCGCACUCAAGCCUUCCUCCGAACUCCUCCGCACUUCGGCUUGUGGCUCAAGACCUUCAAGGUGGAGCCGCUAGUGACAGAGGGGGAGCAAGUAGAGUGCGGCGGCGCCGUAGUGAGCAAGCUUGCUAGCGCUGUUUGGCUGAAAGGAUCCUUUGGCAAGUCUUCAGAUCUGUGGCAGCAGGGGUGGUUCUACAUCAUCGAACCCCGUGGCUCCAAGUGGGCAGCUGCACCCGCAUUUCGAUCCAGCCCCCCAACUCAGCCUGCGUCGUGGAUCAAUAAGGGGUUGGACUGGAGAGCAACGGACGAGGUGCAGACUUUGCAAAGUCGCAUCCGAAACCUCAUUGAGAGGGACAUCAACAUCGUCAACGUUGUCCAAGUAAUGCUGGACCGCCGGACCCUACCGUUCCCGUGAGGGCCACUCCGCACGUGGGAGUUCAAUCCGGAAGGGCCGCGGACUCUUCAGCACUUCUUCGGCACUACACACGAAGGAAUGUGGAGAUUAUUCUUCGGGAAACGAAAACAAUGGCCGGACACCACCGAAGAUAUCGGCCUUGACUGCAGCCAUCCGGACACCCCGGUAAGUACCCGUUUGCCGAACACCUCAUAAUCAGAUACCCAUUGAUAAGAUACUGACUGAAUCAUCCUUUUUCAGGGCUGGAUAAAGAAAGUGGAACGGAUUAGGUGUCCGGCUCCCCUUCCCGAAGACUCAGCUACUCCUAUGUUAACAAGGAUGCUGGCCUCGACACCGUAUCAGGCGCCGGCGAGGGGGGUAAAGAGGAGAGUAAAAAGACCCAAGAUGACCUUCGUUCCGGAGGUAAGUCAGAUACUGAGUCGGGAGAAAUCGACCUUUCCUCGCCUGAAGACAGAGGCAAAAAAGGACCCAGCAUCCCUUCUCCGAGUAGGAGGAAAAGGGCCGCCUCUGAAGAUUGGGAGGGGCGGUCUCCCAAGAAGGGCAAGAUGCCACCGUUGAGAGGCUUGGGCUUGGAAAGCGACGCCGUCGAACGGCUCCAACAAGGGGACAAGCCCUCGGCCAAACCGUAAGUGAAUCCGGAGUACUUUGACAAUGUCCCGCUCCGUCGCUAUCGCCGAAGAUAUACGUGACGCGUUCAUGCAUUUUUACAGGUCGGCACAGAGUUUUUCUGGGCAAUCCUCUUCUUCGGGAAGUCUCCUCCCAGAGAUGAUGGAGAGCGAGAUGCCUCCUCCAACCUCCUCUCCCAGUAAGGCGGAUGACUCUGAAGUGUCAUCGCGGAGGGUCCCGGUUAGUCAACAGGUUACACCGGGGAAAGAAGAGGUAGUAACCGAAGGUGGAUCUCCAACCAUCCGGGAUUCUGGGGCUGAUGAUAACAAAGGCCCCGGACUGUCUGGCCCGCAGCCGACAGCGAUUCUGGAGAUGGGUGAACAGAUUCCUUCAAAGGAUGGUCGGGCUUCUAGAGCGGCUUCCGAAGACCCAGAGACUCCGGAUAUAUUGCGGGACAUGUUGGGAAAAGCAUCUGUCUCGGGAGAGCAGCGUACCUUGAUGGGUACAUUGGUUGAGAAGACUUUGUCCGCGAAGAGCGGUUUGAAUGAAGCCUUCAUGAGCCUGCUAAAAGGCUUCGAGGUUUGUGAUCAAAUAUGUUUUAUUUGCAAAGAUGUGCCUGUGUAUAGGUAGUAGCCCCUGAGACUCGGGUUGGCUUCCACUGGGAAGCAACCGGAGGAUCAAAAAAAUGAUCGUUUGAGGACUAACCUGAUAAACUUGAACACAGGCUGCUUCCCCUUUGGCCACUUCCUGGACUACGGAGAUUGUCGAGCUGCAGCGGAAGCUUGAUGUGGCAGGGGAUGAUCUUGCAUUAAUCAAUAUGCGUCUUGACGAGUCGCAAGGUAUGUACUCGGGGUAAUCCCCAGACAUUUUAUGUGGUAUAAGCAUGAUGCUGAAAUCUGAAUGCUGGAAUAUGUGUGGCUGCAGAUGGUGCUGCCGCCAUUGAAGUUCUUCGAGCGGAGCUGGCUCGGGCCAAGGAGCAGGCCCGACAUAGCGAUGCUGCUGCCGAAAAGGCAUCGGCUGAGCUAAAAGCUGAACAAGCUGCACGGCGCCAAGAUGAGGAGAAGAUAUCCACGGUGGCGCUCGAACUGGAAAAUGCUACUGGCCGCUGCAAAUUUCUGGAGAAGGAGAAUAAAGCCUUAACGGCUGAACUGGACAAGGCCUUACUAGAGGAGAGGGAAGCUCAAUCGGAAUCCAGAGCAACCCUUGAGGAUGUUCGGCAGGCUAGGGAGAUUGUGGCUGGGAAGCCCUUUCUGCUGCAAACUAAGUUCGGUGACCCGAACUAUGCUCAGCUUAACGAAGUGUCGAGUUCUCCGGACGAGUUCUUGAACUUGUCGAAGAGUUCUUCCGAUGCGGCGCAAUAUUACCAAGUGCGAGAUGGGUAUGCAACGGAGAAGCUUUUUUGGUCGCAGUUUGGCACAUCAAAGCGCCCCCUGUUGCUCAAUGAACAGAUGUCCCAAUGGGCCGAACUUCAUCGGAUAUCCAGUGCUGCCAUGAAGGAUGUCAUAAUCCGGUUGUGGCCAACUGAGCCUAUUCCGGAUAGCUACUUUGGUUUGGUACAAAGACUUGUUGACGCGGUGCUGCAAAUCGAUGCUGUGAAGCGGUCAGCGUGCAUUGAAGGUGCACGGAUGGCCUUUGCCCGAGUCAAGACAUUCUGAGGAAAGAUGAAGGCCAUCGAUGUUGCGGCGAAGAGUCCACCCAAAGGCAAGGACCGUCCAGAACCGGAACAUUAUUUUGAAGAUGUCCUAGAGGCCGCCCGCUUCAUAGAGGGCCAGUGCUCGAAAGACAUAAUAUUUGAGUGAGGUGUAUCAAAAUUGUAGAAGAAAAAUUUAUAGUUAAUCUAUUUUCAUGUUUUGCUCGAAAGCUUGAAUUCCUCGUGUGUGGCCGUGUUAAUAUAAUCUGAAAGUUUUCCAGUCGUCAGCUUCAGCCCCCUUGUAGGAAGUACGGGGGUGUUCGGAAAGCAUUUAAUCACUCUUUAUCCAACGUCUUGGUCCAUGAAGGAGGUGAUAAUGCGGCGAACUAGGCAAUCGGACUAUAAGGCAUUAACACUUUCACUUAGCCAUAGGAGUUUUAUGGUGGGACUACGACAUAGCCCCUCGUAUGUAUGCGGCGUAUGAUGCCUUACAUAUUUGAUCUGAAACAGAUCCCUCGUGUGACAGGAGAAUCGCUAAGGAUUCCAAGAAGUCAUCAAGUGGUUGACCAGCUCUCGCCGCAUCAUGACAGUCAGUUUUCGGCUUUCUCUACCGAGGUCCUCAUCCGGUUUAGACCAGGGCACAAUCGCAGUAGUUCUCCCUUUACUACCCUAGCCGAUAGAGCGGAACGUAGGGUAGCAAGCACAGGAGCCGGGCAACCCAACUAUUGACCCAAGACAAUGAUUCGGAGCUGAUGCAUAUAAGGCCAAACUUGCGACGCCGAAGUACACUAUAGAGUUGUUCAGACUUUUACUGGCGACUCAUUUGUUCCCACACCGAGCCCCUGGCAUGUUAUGCCAAGGUAUUUCUGUGAAAUAACUGUAGGAGCCAUAUUUGUUGGAGAAACAACACGGAUUAUUAGUUCGGAUACUGUUUACUAGGACUGAGCGAUAUGCCAAUGAUCACUUAUGAUAUAUAAAAGCCAUCCUCCCGGCUAUUUGACAUGCUCGGGGUUGGAGGCGGAGGAACGGGCAUAGUACAGGCUCAAAAAAUAGAGAAUGCGGUCUACAAAAAGUUAUUUUGGACCUCCUGUCGCACGUCUGCGCCGCCAGUCGUCGGUGGGGGGAAUCCUUUAUGGAAAUGGCCCCGUAGGUGAGUGUACGGAUCCGGACUCCGAUAGAGCCAGUUUCAGAUGUUUAUCCUGUUCGUCACCUAUUUUUAAAAGGAUAGCGAAGGAAGAAAUAAAAAGAUAAUAAAUAAUAAUAAUAAAAAGUUAUUGGAGUGCUUGCAGGUUUGUCCGUAUUGUGAUUCCGCCAAUACCCAUGGUAUCUUGAUCCCCGGGUAUGCGUAGUACAAACUUUGUAGGUGCACGGAGUGGGCCGCGGAAGCCGGGUUGCUAUUUCCGUUCUAGGAGUAGUUGAUCCCCGGGUGGAGAUUGCUUCUAACCCCCGGAGUUUCGUUGGCGAACCUUUCCGUCAUUCCUGUCGCCUGGCGGCUUCUUCCCCUUCUGCUCGGCGUUGAGCUUGCCGGCUUGUUUGAAGACCCUGCAGUUUCUGUUAGUAUGAUUAGCUGGUUUGUCGGGGUGGCCGUGAAUCUGGCAGGGUCGGUCCAAUAUCAUGUCCAGGUUGGAUGGUUCGUCUUGUUUCGCCUUGAAUGGCUUCUCCCGUUGACCGGGCUUGGGAUUGCUGAAUCCGGCGUUGACCGCCGUGUCGCGUGAUCUUUCAUUAUCAUUGCGACUGUUUUUUUGCUUCGUCGUGGCUUGCCGUUGCCGUCUCGGAUUUCGGAAAUGCCCGGGUCGUUGGCGCUAUCGCUUCUACGAGCGAGUGAUACGUCUCCAACGUAUCUAUAAUUUUUUAUUGUUCCAUGCUAUAUUAUAUUCUGUUUUGGACAUUAUUGAGCUUUAUUAUACACUUUUAUAUUAUUUUUGGGACUAACCUAUUAACCGGAGGCCCAGCCUAGAAUUGUUGUUUUUUUGCCUAUUUCAGAGUUUCACAGAAAAAGAAUAUCAAACGGAGUCCAAACAGAAUGAAACCUUCGGGAACGUGAUUUUCGGAACGAACGUGAUCCAGAGGACUUGGACCCUACGUCAAGACAUCAACCAGGAAGGCACGAUGUAGGGGGGCACGCCUACCCCCUCAGGGCGCGCCCUCCACCCUCGUGGGCCCCACGUUGCUCCACCGACGUACUUCUUCCUCCUAUAUAUACCUAAGUACCGCCAAACUACCAGAUACGGAGCCAAAAACCUAAUUCCACCGCCGCAACAUUCUGUACCCGUGAGAUCGCAUCUUGGGGCCUGUUCCGGAGCUCCGCCGGAGGGGGCAUCUAUCACGGAGGGCUUCUACAUCAACACCAUAGCCUCUCCGAUGAAGUGUGAGUAGUUUACCUCAGACCUUCGGGUCCAUAGUUAUUAGCUAGAUGGCUUCUUCUCUCUUUUUGGAUCUCAAUACAAUGUUCUCCCCCUCUCUUGUGGAGAUCUAUUCGAUGUAAUCUUGUUUUGCGGUGUGUUUGUUGAGACCGAUGAAUUGUGGGUUUAUGAUCAAGUUUAUCUAUGAACAAUAUUUGAAUCUUCUCUGAAUUCUUUUAUGUAUGAUUGGUUAUCUUUGCAAGUCUCUUCGAAUUAUCAGUUUGGUUUGGCCUACUAGAUUGAUCUUUCUUGCAAUGGGAGAAGUGCUUAGCUUUGGGUUCAAUCUUGUGGUGUCCUUUCCCAGUAACAGUAGGGGCAGCAAGGCACGUAUUGUAUUGUUGCCAUCGAGGAUAACAAGAUGGGGUUUAGAUCAUAUUGCCUGAGUUUAUCCCUCUACAUCAUGUCAUCUUGCUUAAAGCGUUACUCUGUUCUUAUGAACUUAAUACUCUAGAUGCAUGCUGGAUAGCGGUCGAUGUGUGGAGUAAUAGUAGUAGAUGCAGGCAAGAGUCGGUCUACUUGUCUCGGACGUGAUGCCUAUAUACAUGAUCAUACCUGGAUAUUCUAAUUACUAUGCUCAAUUCUGUCAAUUGCUCAACAGUAAUUUGUUCACCCACCGUAAUACUUAUGCUCUUGAGAGAAGCCACUAGUGAAACCUAUGGCCCCCGGGUCUAUUUUCCAUCAUAUUCAAUCUCCCGACAACAACCUAUUUCUGACGCCAUUUUUACUUUGUUUACUUUACUUUGCAUCUUUAUCAUAAAAAUACCAAAAAUAUUAUCUUAUCAUAUCUAUCAGAUCUCACUCUCGUAAGUGACCGUGAAGGGAUUGACAACCCCUUUAUUGCGUUGGUUGCGAGGAUUUAUUUGUUUGUGUAGGUGCGAGGGGCUUGCGCGUGGCCUCCUACUGGAUUGAUACCUUGGUUCUCAAAAACUGAGGGAAAUACUUACGCUACUUUGCUGCAUCACCCUUUCCUCUUCAAGGGAAAACCAACGCAGUGCUCAAGAGGUAGCAAGAAGGAUUUCUGGCGCCGUUGCCGGGGAGUCUACGCAAAAGUCAACAUACCAAGUACCCAUCACAAACCCUUAUCUCCCGCAUUACAUUGUUUGCCAUUUGCCUCUCGUUUUCCUCUCCCCCACUUCACCCUUGCCGUUUUAUUCGCCCUCUCUUUUCCAUUUGCCUCUUUUUGCCUGUCUCCUGUUUGCUCAUGUGUUGGAUUGCUUGCUUGUCAUGAUGGCUCAAGAUAAUACUAAAUUGUGUGACUUCACCAAUACCAACAACAAUGAUUUCCUUAGCACUCUGAUUUCUCCUCUUACCGAUACUGAAUCUUGUGAAAUCAAUGCUGCUUUGUUGAAUCUUGUCAUUAAAGAUCAAUUCGCCGGCCUUCCUAGUGAAGAUGCCGCUACCCAUCUAAAUAGCUUCGUUGAUUUGUGUGAUAUGCAAAAGAAGAAAGAUGUGGAUAAUGAUAUUGUUAAACUGAAUCUAUUUCCCUUUUCGCUUAGAGAUCGUGCUAAAGCUUGGUUUUCAUCUUUGCCUAAAAAUAGUAUUGAUUCUUGGAAUAAGUGAAAAGAUGCUUUUAUCUCUAAAUAUUUUCCUCCCGCUAAGAUCAUCUCUCUUAGAAACGAUAUUAUGAAUUUUAAGCAACUUUCAUGAACAUGUUGCACAAGAUUGGAGAGGAUGAAAUUAAUGAUACGUAAUUGCCCUACACAUGGUUUGAAUUUAUGGAUGAUUAUACAAAUUUUUUAUGCCGGAUUGAAUUUUGCUUCUAGAAAUCUUUUAGACUCGGCCGCGGGAGGCACUUUUAUGGAAAUCACUUUAGGAGAAGCUACUAAACUCCUAGAUAAUAUUAAGGUUAAUUAUUCUCAAUGGCACACUGAAAGAUCUACUAGUAAAAAGGUGCAUGCGGUAGAAUAAAUUAAUGUUUUGAGUGGAAAGAUGGAUGAACUUAUGAAAGUAUUUGCUACUAGGAGUGUUUCUUCUGAUCCUAAUGAUAUGCCUUUGUCUACUUUGAUUGAGCAUAAUAAUGAAUCUAUGGAUGUAAAUUUUGUUGGUAGGAAUAAUUUUGGUAACAACGCGUAUAGUAGAAACUUUAAUCCUAGGCCUUAUCCUAGCAAUUCCUCUAAUAAUUAUGAUAAUUCCUACAACAAUUCUUAUGGAACUUUAAUAAGAUGCCCUCUGAAUUUGAGACUAGUGUUAAGGAGUUUAUGAAUUCACAAAAGAAUUUCAAUGCUUUGCUCGACGAAAAAUUGCUUAAAGUUGAUGAAUUGGCUAGGAACAUUGAUAGAUUUUCUCUUGAUAUUGAUUCUUUGAAACUUAGAUCUAUUCCACCUAAGCAUGAUAUCAAUGAGUCUCUCAAAGCCAUGAGAAUUUCCAUUGAUGAAUGCAAAGAAAGAACCGCUAGGAUGCGUGCUAAGAAAGAUUGCUUUGUAAAAGCGUGUUCUUCUAGUUCCUACGAAAAUAAAGAUGAAGAUCCAAAAGUUAUUGAUGUGUCCCCUAUUAAACCUUUGUUUAGAAAUAUGAAUCUUGAUAAUGAUGGGACUGAAUAUGAUCCACCUCUACCUAGAAGGUGUUCCAAAAAUUCGGAGUUUUUAGACCUUGAUGCUAAAAUUGGUAAAAGUGGGAUUGAAGAGAUCAAAACUCUAGAUAUUAAUGAACCCACUAUUUUGGAUUUCAAGGAAUUUAAUUAUGAUAAUUGCUCUGUGAUAGAUUGUAUUUCCUUGUUGCAAUCCGUUCUAAAUUCUCCUCAUGCUUAUAGUCAAAAUAAAGCUUUUACUAAACAUAUCGUUGAUGCUUUGAUGCAAUCUUAUGAAGAAAAACUUGAUUUGGAAGUUUCUAUCCCUAGAAAACUCUAUGAUGAGUGGGAACCUACUAUUGAAAUUAAAAUUAAAGAUCAUGAAUGCUAUGCUUUGUGUGAUUUGGGUGCUAGUGUUUCCACGAUUCCAAAGACUUUGUGUGAUUUGUUAGGUUUCCGUGAUUUUGAUGAUUGCUCUUUAAACUUGCACCUUGCGGAUUCCACCAUUAAGAAACCUAUGGGAAGAAUUAAUGAUGUUCUUAUUGUUGCAAAUAGAAACUAUGUGCCCGUAGAUUUUAUUGUUCUUGAUAUCGAUUGCAAUCCUUCAUGUCCUAUCAUUCUUGGUAGACCUUUCCUUAGAACGAUCGGUGCAAUUACUGAUAUGAAGGAAGGAAAUAUUAGAUUCCAAUUUCCGUUAAGGAAAGGCAUGGAACACUUUCCUAGAAAGAAAAUAAAAUUACCAUAUGAAUCUAUCAUGAGAGCCACUUACGAAUUGCCUACCAAAGAUGGCAAUACCUAGAUCUAUCCUUGCCUUUAUGCCUAGCUAGGGGCGUUAAACGAUAGCGCUUGUUGGGAGGCAACCCAAUUUUUUUUUGCUUUUUGCUUCUGUUUAGGAAUAAAUAUUUGAUCUAGCCUCUGGUUAGACUUGUUUUUAUGUUUUAAUUAGUGUUUGUGCCAAGUUAAACCUAUAGGAUCUUCUCGGAUGAUAGUUAUUUGAUUUUGCUAUAAAUUUCAGAAACUUUCUAUUCACGCAAAUAAUUGUUUAAAAUUACCAGAACGCGAUAAAAUAUUGAUUCCAAUUGCUGCUGAUCAAUAAAGAAAUUUUCUAGGUCGUCCUAUUUUGGCUGAAGUUUUGGAGUUCCAGAAGUUUGCGUUACUUACAGAUUACUACAGACUGUUCUGUUUUUGACAGAUUCUGUUUUUCGUGUGUUGUUUGCUUAUUUUGAUGAAUCUAUGGCUAGUAAAAUAGUUUAUAAACCAUAGAGAACUUGGAAUACAGUAGGAUUAACACCAAUAUAAAUAAAUAAUGAGUUCAUUACAGUAUCUUGAAGUGGUGUUUUGUUUUCUUUCGCUAACGGAGCUCACGAGAUUUUAUGUUAAGUUUUGUGUUGUGAAGUUUUCAAGUUUUGGGUGAAAGAUUUGAUGGAUUAUGGAAUAAGGAGUGGCAAGAGCCUAAGCUUGGGGAUGCCCAUGGCACCCCAAGAUAAUCUAAGGACACCAAAAAUCCAAAUCUUGGGGAUGCCCCGGAAGGCAUCCCCUCUUUCGUCUACUUCCAUCGGUAACUUACUUGGAGCUAUAUUUUUAUUCACCACAUGAUAUGUGUUUUGCUUGGAGCGUUUUUAUGAUUUGAGUCUUUGCUUUUUAGUUUACCACAAUCAUCCUUGCUGUACACACCUUUUGAGAGAGACACACAUGAUUCGGAAAUUAUUUUAAUACUCUAUGUGCUUCACUUAUAUCUUUUGAGCUAUAUAGUUUUUGCUCUAGUACUUCACUUAUAUCUUUUAGAGCACGGUGGUAACUUUUGUUUUAUAGAAACUAUUAUUCUCUCAUGCUUCACUUAGAUUCUUUUGAGAGUCUUAAAUAGCAUGGUAAUUUGCUUAAUCCUAAUAUGCUAGGUAUUCAAGACUAGUACAAACUUUCUUAUGAGUGUGUUGAAUACUAAGAGAAGUUAGAUGCUUGAUGAUUGUUUGAGAUAUGGAGGUAGUGAUAUCAAAGUUGUGCUAGUUGAGUAGUUGUGAAUUUGAGAAAUACUUGUGUUGAAGUUUGCAAGUCCCGUAGCAUGCACGUAUGGUAAACGUUAUGUAACAGAUUUGAAACAUGAGGUGUUCUUUGAUAGUCCUCCUUAUGAGUGGCGGUCGGGGACGAGCGAUGGUCUUUCCCUACCAAUCUAUCCCCCUAGGAGCAUGCGCGUAGUGCUUGGUUUUUGAUGACUUGUAGAUUUUUGCAAUAAGUAUGUGAGUUCUUUAUGACUAAUGUUGAGUCCAUGGAUUAUACACACUCUCACCUUUCCAUCAUUGCUAGCCUCUUCGGUACCGUGCAUUGCCCUUUCUCAUACUGAGAGUAGGUGCAAACUUCGCCGGUGCAUCCAAACCGCGUGAUAUGAUACGCUCUUUCACACAUAAACCUCCUUAUAUCUUCCUCAAAACAGCCACCAUACCUACCUAUUAUGGCAUUUCCAUAGCCAUUCCGAGAUAUAUUGCCAUGCAACUUUCCACCAUUCCGUUUAUCAUGACACAUUCAUCAUUGUCAUAUUGCUUUGCAUAAUCAUGUAGUUGACAUAGUAUUUGUGGUAAAGCCACCAUUCAUAAGUCUUUCAUACAUGUCACUCUUGGUUCAUUGCAUAUCCCGGUACACCGCCGGAGGCAUUCAUAUGGAGUCAUACUUUGUUCUAGUAUCGAGUUGUAAUCAUUGAGUUGUAAAUAAAUAGAAGUGUGAUGAUCAUCAUUUUCUAAAGCAUUGUCCCAAGCGAGGAAAAAUAAAAAAAUAAAAAAGGGGAGAAAGGCCAUAAAAAAGAAGGCCCAAAAAAAUGAGAGAAAAAGAGAGAAGGGACAAUGUUACUAUCCUUUUUACCACAUUGUGCUUCAAAGUAGCACCAUAAUCUUCAUGAUAGAGAGUCUUUUGUUUUGUCACUUUCAUAUACUAGUGGGAACUUUUCAUUAUAGAACUUGGCUUGUAUAUUCCAACAAUGGGCUUCCUCAAAUUCCCUAGGUCUUCAUGAGCAAGCAAGUUGGAUGCACACCCACUUAGUUUCUUUUGUUGAGCUUUCAUAUAUUUAUAGCUCUAGUGCAUCCGUUGCAUGGCAAUCCCUACUCCUUGCAUUAACAUCAAUAGAUGGGCAUCUCCAUAGCUCAUUGGUUAGCCUCGUUGAUGUGAGACUUUCUACUUUUUUGUCUUCUCCACAUAACCCCCAUCAUUAUAUUCUAUUCCACCCAUAGUGCUAUAUCCAUGGCCCACGCUCAUGUAUUGCGUGAAGGUUGAAAAAGUUUGAGAGUACUAAAGUAUGAAACAAUUGCUUGGCUUGUCAUUGGGGUUGUGCAUGAUGAGAGCAUUCUUGUGCGACGAAAAUGGAGCAUGACUAAACUAUAUGAUUUUGUAGGGAUGAACUUUCUUUGGCCAUGUUAUUUUGAGAGGACAUAUUGCUUAGUUAGUAUGCUUGAAGUAUUAUUAUUUUUAUGUCAAUAUUGAACUUUUAUCUUGAAUUUUUCGGAUCUGAAUAUUCAUACCACAAUUAAGAAGAAUUACAUUGAAAUUAUGCCAAGUAGCAUUCCACAUCAAAAAUUCUGUUUUUAUCAUUUACCUACUCGAGGACGAGCAGGAAUUAAGCUUGGGGAUGCUUGAUACGUCUCCAACGUAUCUAUAAUUUUUUAUUGUUCCAUGCUAUAUUAUAUUCUGUUUUGGACAUUAUUGGGCUUUAUUAUACACUUUUAUAUUAUUUUUGGGACUAACCUAUUAACCGGAGGCCCAGCCUAGAAUUGUUGUUUUUUGCCUAUUUCAGAGUUUCGCAGAAAAAGAAUAUCAAACGGAGUCCAAACGGAAUGAAACCUUCAGGAACGUGAUUUUCGGAACGAACGUGAUCCAGAGGACUUGGACCCUACGUCAAGACAUCAACCAGGAAGGCGCGAGGUAGGGGGGCGCGCCUACCCCCCCCCCCAGGGCGCGCCCUCCACCCUCGUGGGCCCCAUGUUGCUCCACCGACGUACUUCUUCCUCCUAUAUAUACCUACGUACCCCCAAACUAUCAGAUACGGAGCCAAAAACCUAAUUCCACCGCCGCAACCUUCUGUACCCGUGAGAUCCCAUCCUGGGGCCUGUUCCGGAGCGCUGCCGGAGGGGGCAUCAAUCACGGAGGGCUUCUGCAUCAACACCAUAGCCUCUCCGAUGAAGUGUGAGUAGUUUACCUCAGACCUUCGGGUCCAUACUUAUUAGCUAGAUGGCUUCUUCUCUCUUUUUGGAUCUCAAUACAAUGUUCUCUCCAUCUCUUGUGGAGAUCUAUUCGUUGUAAUCUUGUUUUGCGGUGUGUUUGUUGAGACUGAUGAAUUGUGGGUUUAUGAUCAAGUUUAUCUCUGAACAAUAUUUGAAUCUUCUCCGAAUUAUUUUAUGUAUGGUUGGUUAUCUUUGCAAGUCUCUUCGAAUUAUCAGUUUGGUUUGGCCUACUAGAUUGAUCUUUGUUGCAAUGAGAGAAGUGCUUAGUUUUGGGUUCAAUCUUGCGGUGUCCUUUCCCAGUGACAGUAGGGGCAGCAAGGCACGUAUUGUAUUGUUGCCAUCGAGGAUAACAAGAUAUGUCAUCUUGCUUAAAAUGUUACUCUGUUCUUAUGAACUUAAUACUCUAGAUGCAUGCUGGAUAGCGGUCGAUGUGUGGAGUAAUAGUAGUAGAUGCAGGCAGGAGUGGGUCUACUUGUCUCGGACGUGAUGCCUAUAUACAUGAUCAUACCUAGAUAUUCUCAUAACUAUGCUCAAUUCUAUCAAUUGCUCAAUAGUAAUUUGUUCACCCACCGUAAUACUUAUGCUGUUGAGAGAAGCCACUAGUGAAACCUAUGGCCCCCGGGUUUUAUUUCCAUCAUAUUCAAUCUCCCGACAACAAGCUAUUUCUGACGCCGUUUUUACUUUGUUUACUUUACUUUGCAUCUUUAUCAUAAAAAUACCAAAAAUAUUAUCUUAUCAUAUCUAUCAGAUCUCACUCUCGUAAGUGACCGUGAAGGGAUUGACAACCCCUUUAUUGCAUUGGUUGCGAGGAUUUAUUUGAUUGUGUAGGUGCGAGGGACUUGCGCGUGGCCUCCUACUGGAUUGAUACCUUGGUUCUCAAAAACUUAGGGAAAUACUUAAGCUACUUUGCUGCAUCACCCUUUCCUCUUCAAGGGAAAACCAACGCCGUGCUCAAGAGGUAGCAGCGAGCCCGCUGUCUUCUCCCGCGCAAAAGCGGUUCAUCAGAGCAGUGAGGGCUGUCAUGGAUUUAGGUCCUUCUUGGCCGAGGUGGCGUGCAAGCCAUUCGUCCCGGACGCUAUGUCUAAAGGCCGCAAGGGCUUCUGCCCGGACAGUCGAAGAUUUGGUUCUUUUUAACUAAGAACCGAGUCCAGAGCUUCCUGGCUGAUUCUCCGGGCUGCUGGACAAUGUGACUUAGGUCAUCGGCAUCCGGUGGCCGGACAUAUGUUCCUCGGAAGUUAUCGAGGAAAGCCUCUUCCAAGUCCUCCUAGCUGCCUAUGGAAUUUUCAGGCAGGCUGUUUAACCAGUGCCGAGCUGGUCCUUUUAGCUUUAGUGGGAGGUAUUUAUUGGCGUGGAGGUCGUCCCCACGGGCCAUAUGGAUGUGGAGGAUAAAAUCUUCUAUCCAUACUGUGAGAUCGGCUGUGCCGUCGUAUGAUUCAAUAUUGACGGGUUUGAAUCCUUCGGGGAAUUCAUGAUCCAUUACUUCAUCAGUGAAGCAUAGCGGGUGUGCGGCUCCUCUAUGUUGGGCCACAUUGCGACGUAACUCUGAAGGAGUCCCUUUUCGGUAUUUGGCGCGGGUGUGGCGAGGUUUGUCACGUCCGAACAGGUAGCCAUCGUCGAGCGUCAAGGCAUGCCUUCGCGAUCCGUAGAUCGGUCUUGCGUGUCCUGCUCUAUUGUCCAAGUCCCUCUGCAGGUCGUCUGGGUAAUCGUGACCUGCGUUGUUCUUGCCUUUACGGCGAGGUGGGGCGGUCUGGUGUUCGGCUUGAGUUGCCUCUUUAUCCGGACAGAGUUGUCGGUGACCUGCCGCUUUAUGUGACGAUGGUACGGGCUCCAACACCCCGUCAUCGGACUGGUAUAUAAUUCUGUGCUUUGGGUAGCUUUUGUCUAGGUCAUUAAGGCCGUAUUCUUCGGCGACCAAGACUUCGGUCCAUCUGUCAUUGAGUAGGUUUUGGUCUGCUUGAAGUUGCUGCUGCUUCUUUUUUAGGCUCCUUGCCGUAGCUAUUAGCCUGCGCUUGAAGCGCUCCUGUUCGAGGGGCUCUUCAGGUACGAUGAAGUCUUCGUCGCCGAGGCUUACCUCAUCUUCGGAGAGCGAAAGGUAGUUGUCGUCCUCCGAACUGUCGCUGGGCAGGGCCUGUUCAUCAGGGCUCACUUGCCUGAUUUCUUGUUCCUCCUGUUUGGAUCCUCCCGCGAUAGGGUCUUCAUUGUCCGGAGUGUUACCUUCUCUGGUGCUAGUGUUGUUUUCUUUUGAGCGACGUGGCUUAGAGCGGCGCCGGGGGCGCCGGUGUUCGGAUUGUGUCCCGGGAGGCUUAUCCUCAACUGGAUCCUCUUUGUCAUCGUCGAGAUCGUCGUUGGGUGUGUCUACCAUACACACGUCAUACCAGGAAUUGGUCGUUCCUCGUCUAGUGGAUAGUGAGUUCUGGCCUUGCCCCUCAUCGUCGUCCAUAUCGUCGAUGUCUGCAGAGCCGGGGUCAAGCGUGUUGGUUGGGUCUUCGACAGUGGCUAUGAAGUGGGUGGCGGGUGGGAAACAAAAUUCUCCAUCGUCCGCCGCCAGCUCGAACCGAACAUAGUUCGGCGGCGAGUCACCUGCCAGAGAUAGAUUUUUUAGUGAGUUUAGUACGUCGCCCAUGGGCGAGUGUCGGAAGACGUCUGCAGUGCUGAACUUGAAGAUCGAUAACCGAUCGAGUUUAGUAUCUACGGACUCACGGGGUUCGGAACUUGUCGCCGGAGACGAGUCCGGGGUUCCAUGAUACAUAUAUCAUAUGAAGUAAAAUCUGCACGAGGCUCCAACGCCGCGGAAUCGGUAGCCUCCGUGAUGGGGUUGAGCUUCCCAUCUUCGGAUGACUCGAUCUGCUCCGGCUCUAGGGCCAGAGUUGUUACAGGAGCUAUCUCCUGUAUGCGGCCCGGUGGCCGAUUUAAGCCGUGCCUAGCGGGGCGAAGGGGAGCGGUUGCCGCGGUCUCAAAUCCGUCGAAGAUCAAGUCUCCAUGGAUGUCCGCGACAUAGUUCAAGCUUCCAAAUCUGACAUGAUGGCCAGGGGCGUAGCUGUCGAUCUGCUCCAGAUGGCCAAGCGACUUGGCCCGCAGUACGAAGCCGUCGAAUACGAAGAUCUGUCUGGGGAGGAAGGUAUCUCCCUGGACGGCAUCACUAUAGACAGUCGAAGGGGCCAUCAAACCUUUCGUCGACGGCAAUGAAAGCACCAAUGUCGGUGUCAAAACCAUCGGAUCUCGGGUAGGGGUCCCGAACUGUGCGUCUAAGGUUGAUGGUUUGCAGGAGACGGGGGACACGAUGUUUACCCAGGUUCGGGCCCUCUCUAUGGAGGUAAUACCCUACUUCCUGCUUGAUUGAUCUUUAUGAAUAUGAGCAUUACAAGUGUUGAUCUACCACAAGAUCGACAUGGCUAAACCCUAGAAGUCUAGCAUGUAUGACUAAGGUAAUGAGUCUCUUCCUAUCCGGACUACGCUCUCCGGUUUAUAUAGGCACCGGAGAGAUCUAGGGUUACAUGGAGUCGGUUACAUAGAAAGGAAUCUACACGAUUGAUUGCCACGCUUGCCUUCCAUGCCAAGGAGAGUCCUGUCCGGACACGGGUGCCAUCUUUGGUCUUCGUAUCUUUACAGCCCAUCAGCCCGGCCCACGGAUAACAGGCCAGACGCCCGAGGACCCCUUACUCCAGGACUCCCUCAAGGGGGUCUCGAUGGUAAUAGGAGACGGGGGACACGAUGUUUACCCAGGUUCGGGCCCUCUCUAUGGAGGUAAUACCCUACUUCCUGCUUGAUUGAUCUUGAUGAAUAUGAGUAUUACAAGAGUUGAUCUACCAUGAGAUCGUAAUGGCUAAAACCCUAGAAGUCUAGCCUAUAUGAUUAUGAUUGCCUCUACGGACUAAACCCUCUGGUUUAUAUAGACACCAGAGGGGACUAGGGUUGUACAAAGUCGGUUACAGAGAAAGGAAUCUUCAUAUCCGAACGCCAAGCUUGCCGUCCAUGCCAAGGAGAGUCCCAUCCGGACACGGGAGAAAGUCUUUUGUCUCGUAUCUUCAUGGCCCAUCAGUCCGGCCCACGUUACAUAGUUCGGACGCCCGAGGACCCCUUAAUCCAGGACUCCCUCAGUAGCCCCUGAACCAGGCUUCAUUGACGAUGUGUCUGGCAUGCAAAUUGUCUUCGGCAUUGCAAGGCGGGUUCCUCCUCCGAAUCCUCCAAAGCAGCCUUCGAACACAGGAAACGUGUCCGGCUCUGCAAAACAAAUACCACACACAACCGCAGAGAGUACAAUAUUUCACGAGUCCAAUCUACUGGCAACUUUUUGUAGCGUGACAUCACGUCACUGCCCGGUCAUUAUUUCAAACCAUUUUUAGCCUGCCGCUCCGCGUUUCAAGAUGCGGUUUCCAUUGGUACGUCUUGUCGCAGCAGAGAUCGUGUCCCCUUAUUACGGGAUUCUCAUCAAUACGGGUGUGGGUAAUCUAACCAUGCCGUCUUCACGGCCCUUGGGAAUAGGCGAGUUUUAAGGCGAGUGGGGAGGCGCUUGAUAUUCACCGCCUUUAUAAGGAGAUAAGGAUUCCUUUCUUUCACCCACACCUUCUCUCUCUCUGCCCCCCCCAUUCUCGAGCUCCAGCGCCCAAGUUCUCAUCCUUUUCGCCUCAAAAAAGCACUCCAAUCAUGUCCGGAUCCGGAGCGCAGGGCAAGUGGAUGGUCUCCUCCGUCAAGGAGAAGGACAUCACCAAGCUCCGGGAGGCCGGGUAUUUGUCCAAGGAAGUCGCCCACCGGCUUCCGGCCAAGGGGCAGAUCGUCUCCACCACGGAGCCCCAUGAGAGGGUAGUGUUCAUCCCUCACUUCAUCCGCGGGCUGGGAUUUCCUCUCCACCCAUUCAUCCGCGGACUCAUGGUCUACUACGAGCUAGAUUUCCAUGAUCUAGCCCCAAAUUCUUUCCUCAACAUCUCGGCAUUUAUUGUCGUCUGCGAGGCUUUCCCCCGCAUCCCACCCCACUUCGGAUUGUGUCUAAAGAUCUUCAAUGUGAAGCCGAAGGUGGUGGGUGGCCAGCACGUAGAGUGCGGAGGCACCAUGGCGAGCAAGAUGCCCAAUGUCACAUUGCCCGAAGGCUCCUUCGUGGAGACCGUCAAAGGGUGGCAGCAAUUGUGGUUCUAUAUCACAGAGCCCCACGAUGCCACCUGGGCCGCGGCUCCCGAAUUCAAGUCCGGAGCCCCAAUGCGGCUCACCUCCUGGCUAGAGAAGGGCCUAAAUUGGGCUUCGUCGGACGAGCUAACAGCGCUGCAGAUGCGCAUCCAGAGGAUGGUGGACAAGAACAUCAAGCUCGUCAAUGUGAUCCAGGUGAUGCUAGUUCGCCGAAUCCUUCCAUGCCAGAGCCGGGCUUGCCAUCUAUGGGAGUUCGAUCCGGCCGAGCACCAGACCUUGCAACGGUUCUUCGGAACUACGCACGAAGAUAUCUGGAAGGUGCUCUUCAAGGCCAACGAGACGUGGCCGAAGACGACCGAGGACCGUGGGCACGACCUGGCCCAUCCUGCCGGUCUGGUAAGCCUUUCGCAUUUCAAGGUGUAUCCUUUACUUGCUUAUUCAGGGAAGAUGCCUAAGCCUCCCUAUUUAUUUUUUUAGGGCUGGACAAAGAAGGCGGAGCGGAUUCAGUAUCUGGCUCCGCCGCCCGAGGAGCCAGCCAUCCCGCUUCUGACGAAGAUGCUGGUUUCGGUGCCCUACCAGGCACCGGAGAAGAAGGCCAAGAAAAAGGCCAAGGAGACCUAAAGUGGCCUCCGCCGCAAGGGCGCUUCGGACGUGACGUCCGAAGACAUCGAGCAUCACUCCUCCGCCGUCGAGGACGACGAGGAGGACGAGCAAGAAAGCAACUCCCCCCUGAGGGGGGAAGGAAGAAGAGGGCGGCCUCCACGCGUCUGGAGGCCAAAGAGUCCAAGAAGGGGAAAGUCUCCCUCGCGGAUAACUCCGAGUGGGACAUCGAUAGCAUCCCAGAGCGGCGCCCCCGAGAUAAGACCCUGGCUGAAUCGUGAGUACUCAAAGACCAUGACGUAUUCAUAUAUCCAGCCUCUUUACUUCAUAGUUUUAACAUGCUAAAUCAUGCACUUGCAGUCCGGCUCGUUCCGUCCUCGAGCAAUCCUCAUCUUCGGGGAAUUCGCUGGACCCGAAGGUGAUGGACAGCGGGUCCCUUCCGGCGGCCUCCUCUCCCAGGGCCAUGGAUGACACCGAGGUGUUGUCCCGAAGGAUCCCAGGCCAGGGAGAGACACGGGAGGCCGUCAGGGCGGCACCGGAGGGUGAACCUAGGCUAUCGGACACAUGGGGGAGCAAAUCCCCACGAAGACUGGCGAUGGGGGCCAUAUCCAAUUCGGCCCCCAGCCGAAUACGGUCCCGGAGACCUAUACGGCUCCGGAAUCCGGCAAGCAGCCUCCUUUGAAAGGAGGAGGUGUCCCUAUUCCACCGGUGACCUAUGUCCAACCAGAGGCACCUGAUACUCUAUGGAAGCGCUGCGAAGUGCUUCCAUUGUUGAGGAACACCGUGCCCUCAUGGGUACGGUGAUUGAGAAGAUUCAGUCCGCGAAGAGCGGACUGACUGAAGCCUGCGCAAGCCUUCUAACAGGCUUUGAGGUAAGAAACGCAAUUAUGUAAAAAGAAUGUCACAGUAUGGACAGUAGCCCCUGAGACUCUGUCCGGUGUUUGGAAAGAAAAGCCGGACAGAGGAUCAAAUAAUUUUCGCAAGAGACUAACCAUACAUGUCUAUGUGAAUAAGUAGGCGUCGUUGCUGGCUGUGACCUCCCACGCUGCCGAAGUCUCCGGACAGAAGCAGAGUCUGGAGCGGACCGAGGAAGAGCUCGGCCGUGUAAAAAAUCAGCUAGAGGAUAAGCAAGGUAUGCAACGGCCUAUUCAAAUCUAGAAAGAUAUGAAUUGUUUCAUGUUGAUCACAGUAUCAUGAUAUGUCGUAGUAGUUGUGACCGAGGUGGAGACCCUCAAGGCCGCGCUGGCAGAAGCCCAGAAGAGAGCGGCGGAGGAACAAUCCGUCCGCGAAAAGGACGAGGCCGUGGUCGGGGAGGUCCAGCAAGAACUCCAGGAUGCCGUGAAGAAAUGCGAGUCCUUGGAUCGCAAGAUUGCAGAUCAAGAGUCCGAGCUUGAUAAGGCCCGCCAAAGCGCCCAAGGGGCCCGGGUUGAAGCCCAGGGCGUCCUCCAGGAAACCCAAGAGGCCAAGAAAAUCGCGGCAGGUAAGGCCUUCAUUAUGCAAAGCAAAUAUGCGAAGAAGAGGUAUCUCUUACUAACCCAGAUUUGGAGUUCUCCAGGGCGUUUGCGGAUCUGCCACGCAGUGUGUCUGACGCUGCGGAAUUCUUCCGAGCCGAAGAGGGGAGCUCAAUGGAGAAGCUGUUCUGGUCGCAAUAUCUUGCGCUGGAACAUACGGUGCCUUUUAGCGAUCAGCUAAAACAGCUGGUCGAACUGCAUAGGGUGGCCUAACUGGCCAUGAGGGAUUUGAUAAUCCGGCUGUGGCCUGCCGAAGCAAUACCCAGCAGCUACUUCGGGCUUGUGAAGCGGCUGGUCAAUGCCUACCCCCGGCUUGACGUCAUCAAGCGGUCGGUCUGCAUCGAAGGUGUGUGGAUGGCCUUCGCGCGUGUCAAGGUGCAGUGGGCAAAGAUGAACGCCGUCAAGCUCACGACCGAGGGACCACCCGCUGGCAAGGAGCACUGCACGCCCGAGCGGUAUUUUGAUGAUGUCCUGGAGGGAUCCCGCAUUGUAGCGGAGCAAUGUGCUAAGGACAUUAUUUUUGAAUUGAAUUCAUUCAUGUUAUCCUGUCCUGUAUUAUGAAACAAAGCCGUUAUGUAAUAUAAUGCUUGUUUAUUAUUUGAAAUUUUACCUCCUGUGCGGCCGUUUUUAUUAAAUCUGAGAGUUGGCCAGUCGUCGGCUUCAACCCCCAUGUAGGUAGUACGGGGGUGUUCGGGAUGAAAUCUAAACACUCUUGAUCCAAAGGCUUGGUCCUUGAAGGAGGUGUUUAGCGCAACGAACCAGGCAAUCGGACUAUGUGGCUUUAUCACCCUCACUUAGCCAUAGGAGUUUGACAAUAGAAUUUUAGGCGCAGCCCCUGGUAUUCAUAAAUCCGAACUAGGGUGCUGUAAACACCUGAUCGGGUAAAGACCGAUUCGUCGCGUAAUGCGGAAAAAAUCGCAAAAGAUUUGUAACUUCCGAACAGCUGAACGGCACACGCCGCAUCAUGACAGUCAGUUUUCGGCUUUCUCUACUAAGGUGCUCAUCCAGAUAAACCAGGACACAAUCGCAGUAGUUCUCCCUUUACUACCCUAGCCGAUAUAGAGGAAUAUAAGGUAGUAAGCACAGGAGCCGGGCAACCCAACUAUUGACCACAGACAUGAUUCGGAGCCGAUGCAUAUAAUGCUAAAAUUUGGGGUGCCGAACUAUACUGUAAAAAAGUGUUCGGACUUUGUUGCCGUAGUAUGGGGCUCAAUGAAGCCCCUGGCGAAUUAAGGCGUACCAAAGUGUACGGGUGCAAUUGAUAAGAUUAUCAAGAAAAAAUGAAGUAGUAAGCUAGUGCCGCAGAAGUUGGGCCACAAACUGUUUCCAUUAUUGUUUGAUUAAUAUGUCAAAGUGUAUUUUUACAAGUAGCGCGAUAAGCAACAGGGCUAUUUAACAUGCCACGGCCAAGGGAGAGCUGCGUGCGGGUCCUGAAAACAUGUAGGGUGGUCGUCAAAAAGACUGUCGGUGUCAAAACCGGCAGAUCUCGGGUAGGGGGUCCCGAACUGUGCAUCUAGGAUCGAUGGUAACAGGAGACGGGGGACACGAUGUUUACCCAGGUUCGGGCCCUCUCUAUGGAGGUAAUACCCUACUUCCUGCUUGAUUGAUCUUGAUGAAUAUGAGUAUUACAAGAUUUGAUCUACCACGAGAUUGUAAUGGCUAAAACUCUAGAAGCCUAGCCUGUAUGACUAUGGUAAUGUGUAUGUCCCCUAUCCGGACUACGCCCUUCGGUUUAUAUAGACACCGGAGCGAUCUAGGGUUUACAAAGAGUCGGUUACAUAAGGAAUCUUCAUAGUCGAUCGCCAAGCUUGCCUUCCAUGCCAAGGAGAGUCCAAUCCAAACACGGGUACAGUCUUCGGCCUUCAUGUCUUCAUAGCCAUCAGUCCGGCCCAUGGAUAACAGGACGGACGCCCGAGGACCCCUUAGUCCAGGACUCCCUCUGUAGCCCCUGAACCUGGCUUCAAUGACGAGGAGUCCGGCGCGCAGAUUGUCUUCGGCAUUGCAAGGCAGGUUCCCCUUUUUCCGAACUCCAAGAUAGUCUUCGGAUGCGAUGACUAGUAUCCGGACCUAUCACACACACCAUACACAACCGCAGAGAGAAUAUAUUUUUACACGAGUUCCAUCCGCUGACAACUUUUUUGCAGCACGACAUUACGUCCGACCGGUCAUAAUUCCAAACCGCUUUUGUGUUCGACGCCCCACGUCCCGAGACGCGGUUGCCAUUGGCACGUCUUGUCAAAGCAGAGAGCGUGUCCCCUUAUCACGGGAUUCUCAUCAAUGCGGGCAUGGGUAACCCAACCGUGCCGUUUAUACAGCCCUUGGGAAUAGGCGAAUCUUAAGGCGAGUGAGGAGGCAUUUAACACUCGCUGCCUUUAUAACGGGAUAAUGAUUCCCUUUUCCUCUCUCGCGCCCUCUCUCGGUCUCUGCCUUUCCAAUCUUGAGCUCCAGCGCCCAAGUUCUCAUCUCCUUGCCACUCAAGCAACCAUGUCCGGAUCCGGAGGUCAGGGCAAGUGGAUGGUCUCCUCCGUCAAGGAGGAGGACAUUACUGAGCUUCGGGCGGCCGGAUAUUUGGCGAAGGAGAUCGCCCACCGUCUGCCGGCCGAGGGACAAGUCGUCCCCAUGCCGAAGCCCACCGAGAGGGUAGUAUUCAUCCCCCAUUUCUUCCGCGGGCUAGGGUUUCCACUCCACCAUUUCGUCCGCGGCUUGAUGUAUUAUUACGGGAUAGAUUGCCAUGAUUUGUCCCCGAAUUCCUUCCUCAACAUCUCGGCGUUUAUCGUCGUGUGUGAGGCCUUCCUACGCAUCCAACCCCACUUCGGGCUGUGGCUCAAAGUCUUCAACGUGAAGCCGAAGAUGGUGGAUGGCCAGCACGCGGAGUGCGGAGGAGCCAUGGUGAGUAAGCUGUCCAACGUCUCCGGGCCCAAAGGCACUUUUGUGGACACAGUAAAGGAGUGGCAGAAGCAGUGGUUCUACAUCAUAGAAGCUCGCGGCACCACCUGGGCCGCAGCUGCCGAAUUCCGCUCCGGUGCUCCCAUGCGACUCACCCCCUGGGUCGAGAAGAGUCCGGACUGGUGUUCACCUGACGAGCUGAUAGCACUGCAGACGCGCGUUCAAAGCAUGGUGACCAAGAAUGUCAAGCUCGUCGAUGUAAUCCAGGUGAUGCUAGUUCGCCGGAUUCUUCCGUGCCAGCGCCGAAGCCGCCCUCUGUGGGAGUUCAAUUCGAAGAAGCACCAGACCUUGCUAAGACUCUUCGAGACUACUCACGAAGGUGCCUGGAAGUUGCUUUUUAAGGGCAACGAGAAGCCACCGGCCACGGAUUCAGACCGUGGUCACGAUUGUAAACACCCCGCCAGCGAGGUAUCCUAUCUCUGACGUAUCCCCAACUUAAUUGUUUCGAAGAUGAUGUCUGAGUUAAUCAUUGUGUUUUCAGGACUGGAUGGAGAGGGCGAAGCGGAUCCAGUGUCCGGCUCCGCUGCCUGAAGAACCGGUCAUCCCGCAUCUAGCAAAGAUGCUGGUGCCAGCGCCAUAUAAGGCGCCGGAGAAGAAGGCCAAGAAGAAGGCCAAGGGGGCCAAGAGUGGCCCCCGUCGCAAAGGCACUCCGGACGUGACGUCCGAAGAAGACGAAGCUCAUUCCUCUGUCCCUGAGGACAAUGAUGAGGAAGAGGAGGAGGAGGAGGAGGAAAACAACCCUCCCCCUGAGGAGAGGAAGAAGAAGAGGGCGGCUUCGGCGCAUUUGGAGGCGGAAACGCCCAAGAAGGGGAAGGGCGUCCCAGCUGUCAACACCGCGUGGGACGUUGACAGCAGUCCGGAACGACACCCCCGUACUAAGCCCCAGGCCGCAUCGUAAGUGACAUGGCCCGCUCAUGCGCACAUCCGGCCCUUUCUCUUCAUUAUCUUGACAUAGUUAACUGUACUAUUACAGUCCGGCCCGCGACCUUAUCCAGCGAUCCUCAUCUGGAGGUUCGUUGGCUCCGUCGGAGAUGGCGAGCAUGUCGCCGCCGCCUGAUUAUUCCCCCGGGGCCAGGGACGACACCGAAGUGUUGUCCCGGAGGACCGCUCCGAACCGGGGAGGAGCCCAAGACGCUGUCUGGGAGGCGCCACAAGCCGAGACCUCCACUACCGGACACAUGGGGGAGCAGAUCCCCAUGGAGACUGGCGGAGAGGGCCACAUCCAGUUCGGCCCUCAGCCGAAUACGAUUUCGGAGAUCCAUAUGGCUCCGGAGUCGGGCGAGCAGCCCGCUUUGAAGGAGGGGGGUGCGCCGCUUCCACCGGUGGCCCCUGUCCAUCCAGGGGCGCCGGAUAACCUGAUGGAGGCGCUACAAGGCGCCUCCGUCGUGGACGAGCACCGUGUCCUUAUGGAUGCGGUGAUCGAGAAGGUUCAGUCCGCCAAGAGUGGACUGAAUGAAGCCUGCAGCAACCUGCUGAUAGGUUUCAAGGUAAGAAAGAGAAAAACCCCGUGUAGACAGUAGCCCCUGAGACACUGUCCGGUGUUCGGCGAGAAGAACCUGAUAGAGGAUCAAUCUUUUGUCAUAGGAGACUGACUUAAUAUGUAUGAAUAAGUAGGCGUCACUGUUGGCCGCAACCUCGCAUACUGCCGAAGUCUCUGAACUGAAGCAGAGGCUGGAGCGGAACGAAAACGAGCUCGGCGAGGUUAGGGUGCGGCUCCGGGAGAAGCAAGGUGAGUGACGACUUGCUGUGUGUUCGGAAGGAGUAGGCGUUGUAUAUUGACCGCGGUGUCGUAAUAUAUGCAGGAGCCGCGACCGAGGUCGAGGCCCUGAGGAAGGCCCUGUGCGAGGCCGAGGAGAAGGUUGUCCAGCAGCAAGUCGCCCGUAAGAAGCUCAAGGCCCGGGUCAAAGAAGUCCAGCAGGAGCUCCAGGAUGCGGUGAAAAAAUGCGAGGCCUUGGAGCAUGAUGCGUCGGUUCAAGGGGCCGAACUCGCCAAGGCUCGUCAGAGCGCGGAGACUGCACGGAAUGAGGCCCAGGCCGCCCUCCAGGAGAUCCAGGAGGCCAAGAAGAUCACGGCGGGUAAGGCAUUUAAGAUGCAAAGCAAGUAUGCGAAGAAGCAGUACCUUUUACUAACCCGGGUUCGGAGUUCCCCAGGGGCUUUUGCGGAUUUACCACGCAGUGUAUCAGACGCCGCGGAGUUCUAUCGGGCCGAAGGAAGGGGUUCUACAGAGAAGCUAUUCUGGUCGCAGUAUGCGAUGCCAGAGCAUCCUGUGUCCUUCACCGAUCAGCUGAAACAGCUGGUGGAGCUGCAUAGGGUGGCCGAACUAGCCUUUAAGGAUGUGAUAAUCCGGCUAUGGCCAUCCGAAGCUAUGCCAGGCAGCUACUUCGGACUCAUGAGGCGGAUGGUGAACGCCUAUCCUCGGCUGGACGUCGUCAAGUGCUCGGCCUGUAUUGAAGGUGCGUGCAUGGCCUUCGCCCGUUGCAAGAUGUGGUGGGCGAAGAUGGACGCCAUCAAGAUGACCAGAGGGCCACCGAAGGGCAAGGAGCACCGCACACCUGAACGGUAUUUUGCGGAUGUCCUAGAGGGGUCUCGCCUUGCGGCAGCACAAUGUUCGCAGGACAUUGUAUUUGAAUAAAUGUAUUCAUGUUGCCUUUGACUUGUAUUAUGAAAACAAAGCCUGUUUUAUAAUGUAAUUUUGUUAUGCUUUAAUUGUUUCCUCAUGUGCGGCCAUGCUGUAUGUAAUCUGAGGGUUGGCCAGUCGUCGGCUUCUGCCCUCACGUAGGUAGUACGGAGGUGUUCGGGAUGGAAUCUAAACAAUCUUGAUCCAAUUAUAUGGUCCCUGAAGGAGUUGUUUAGCGCAACGAACAAGGCAAUCAGACUAUACGGCUUAAAUGCCCUCACUUAGCCAUAGGAGUUUUAUAAUAAAGCAUGGGUGCAGCCCCUAGUUUAGGCCAGGGUGCUGUCAGCAUCUGAUCGGGAAGUGCCGAUCUUUCGCAUAAUGCGGAAAAAAUCUCCUACGAUUUGUAACCCUCGAACAGUUGACCGGCUCUCGCCGUAUCAUGACAGUCAGCUUUCGGCUUUCUCUACUGAGGUGCUCAUCUGGUCAAGGCCAGGGCACAAUCGCAGUACUUCUCCCUUUACUACCCUAGCCGAUUCAGCGGAACAUAUGGUAGCAAGCACAGGAGCCGGGCAAACCAACUAUUGACCAAAGACAUGAUUCGAAGCCAAUGCAUAUAAUGCUAAAUUCGGGGUGCCGAACUUUUCUAUAAGAAGUGUUCGGACUUUGCUGCCGUAUUAUGGGGUGAUAGGGAGCCCUUGGCGAAUAUGAGACGUACCAAAUUGUACAGAUGCGGUUGAUAAGCAAAUCGAAAUAAAAUGAAGUAAGAAGCGAAAACCACGGAAGCUGAGCCGCAAACCAUUUUCAUUAUAUGGCUCCGUCAAGGCGUGUCUUGUAUAAAUAGUGCGAUAAGCAUCCGGGCUAUUUAACAUGCCGGAAUCAAGAGGGCGCAGCGUGUGGGUCCUGAGAAAUAAGUAGAAAUACCGUCAAGAAGAACGUAUAGAGGUUACCCUACACACCUAUGCUGCUUGCCGUCCUUGUAUGUCGAUCCUUCGAAAGGACUGGUGAUCAGGCCUGCGGGAAAAGGAACCUGAAACAAAUAAAAAGAAAAAUGGGGAAAGUACGUGUGAGUCCGGGGUCGGUCAAGCCGUACUGUGGACCACAAGCUGUGCCUCCGUCGAUGCCCAUGGGAUUUUGAGUGCGUAAUUAUGUGCGCGUGGUACGAGUGCCACUACUUGAUCAGGGUUGGGAUGGAGGCCGAAUUGCUAGUCAAGCUCUUGACGAGCCGAGUUGUCCUAUUGCAGCAUAGCCCAGACCUUCUUAACGGUGUCCAGGGGCUCGGCAGCCGGAUUACGGUUCUGCUUGAAAAGGCCGCUCUGCUGCUAGGGCGGCGGUGUGCUCCUCUGUAUGGAGGGAGCGUUCCGUAUUUCCAUUGACUGUUAUGACACCGCAUGGACUGGGCAUUUUAAGCUUGAGAUAAGCAUAGUGUGGCACCGCGUUGAAUCUAGCGAACGCGGUUCGUCCGAGCAGUGCGUGGUAGCAGCUGCGGAAGGGGACGAUAUCUAAGAUUAGCUCUUCGCUUCGGAAGUUGUCCGGAGAACCGAAGACAACCUCUAGUGUGAUUGAGCCCGUACAACGGGCCUCUACGCAUGGUAUGACUCCUUUAAAGGUAGUCUUUGUUGGUUUGAUCCAUGAGGGAUUAAUACCCAUUUUGCGCACUGUAUCCUGAUAGAGCAGGUUGAGGCUGCUACCACCGUCCAUUAGGACUCGUGUCAGAUGAAAUCCGUCGAUGGUUGGGUCGAGGACCAAUGCCGCCGAACCGCCGUGACGGAUACUAGUUGGAUGAUCUGGUCGAUCGAAGGUGAUCGGGAAUGACGACCAUGGAUUGAAUUUGGGGGCGACUGGCUCUACCGCGUAGAUGUCCCUGAGUGCGCGCUUGUGCUCCCUUUUGGGAAUGUGUGUAACAUAUAUCAUGUUCACUGUUUUGACUUGAGGGGGAAACUUCUUCCGCCCCCCAGUGUUCGGUUGCCGGGGCUCUUCGUCAUCGUCCUCACUUUGUGAUCCCUUUUCCUUGUUCUCGGCAUUUAACUUGCCGGCCUGCUUAAAAACCCAACAAUCUCUGUUGGUAUGGUUGGCUUGUUUGUCUGGGGUGCCAUGUAUCUGGCACGGACGGUCGAGUAUGCGGUCCAAGCUGGAUGGUCCCUCGCUGUUCCUUUUGUAAGUCUUCUUCCGCUGGCCGGACAUGGAACCACUGAAUCCGGCAUGAACCGUAGUGUCAUCGGUGUUAUCACCAUUGCUUCGGCAUUUGUGUCUAUUGCACCGGAGUUUGCCGGUGCUGCUUUUGGCCUCGGAGGGGCCUGCCUUGUUGGCCGUGUUUUUACUACGAGCCAGUCAACUAUCUUCACCCACACAAAAGCGGGUCAUGAGUGUCGUAAGGGCUGCCAUGGAUUUCGGCUUUUCCUGGCCGAGGUGGCGGGCGAGCCAUUCGUCACGGAUGCUGUGUUUGAAGGCCGCUAGGGCUUCUGCAUCCGGACAGUCAACGAUCUGGUUCUUUUUGGUUAGGAACCUAGUCCAGAAUUUUCUGGCUGACUCUCCAGGUUGUUGAACUAUAUGACUUAGGUCAUCGGCGUCUGGUGGCCGGACAUAAGUGCCUUGGAAGUUGUCAAGAAAAGCUUCUUCCAAGUCCUCCCAGCUGCCGAUGGAAUUUUCAGGCAGGCUGUUUUACCCGUGUCUGGCUGGCCCUUUGAGCUUUAGAGGAAGGUAUUUGAUGGCGUGGAGAUCGUCUUCUCGGGCCAUAUGGAUGUGGAGGAUGAAAUCCUCGAUCCAUACUACGGGAUCGGUUGUUCCGUCGUAUGAUUCAAUAUUGAUGGGCUUGAAACCCUCGGGAAAUUCAUGAUCCAGUACUUCAUCUGUGAAGCAGAGGGGGUGUGCGGCACCUCUAUAUCGGACCACAUCGCGACGUAGCUCUGAUGGAGUCCGCCUGCGGCAUUCGGCCCGGGCGUGGUUAGGUUUAUCACGUCCAAAUAGGUAGCUGUCGUCGUGUCUCGAGGCACGUCCUCACGAUCUGUAGAUCGAUCAUGUAUGUCCUGCUCUACUGUCCAGGGUCUGCCGGAGGUCGUACGUGUGACCCCGAAUUGUUCCGCUUCUGUUUUUACGGGGCGGUGGGGCAGGCUGCUGCUCGGCCUGAGUUGCCGCUUUAUCCCGACCGUGGGGUGGUCGGUCCGCCGCACAGUCUCGACCACGUGGUGGUCGUUCCGCAUUGCGCGAGGGAGAUAUGGGCUCAGGCGCCUCCUCAUCGAACUGAGGUAGCAGUCUGCGUUUCGGGUAGCUCUUGGCUGGGCGCUUGAGGCCAUAUUCUUCGGCUGUCAGGACAUCAGUCCAUCUAUCGAUGAGCAGAUCUUGUUCAGCUUGAAGCUGCUGCUGUUUCUUUUUCAGGCUCCUUGCGGUGGCUAUGAGCUGAAGCUUAAAGUGCUCCUGCUCCAGGGGAUCCUCAGGCACGAUGAAGUCUUCGUUGCCGAGGCUCGUCUCCUCCUUGGAGGGCGGACGGUAACUAUCGUCCUUCGAGUCUUCUUCUAUGUCAUGUUCGUCUGGGCUGGCAUGCCAUGAUUCCCGAUUGUCUCGUUCGGCGGUUUGUUCAUCGGGUUCUUCUGUGUCCUCGGCACCAUCCGGAGUGUUCUCGUCUCCUGUGCCGGUGUUGCUAUCCCUGCUGCGGCGGGACUUAGAGUGGCGCCGCUGACGACGGCGCUUUGGUUGUGUUUUAGGAGGGUCCUCCUUGGCCGGAUUUUCCUUGUCAUCGCCGCUAUUUUUCGACGUGUCUACCAUGUAGACGUCAUAUGAGGAGGUGGCCGUCCAUCGUCCAGUGAAUGGCGGGUCCUGGCCUUGCUCCUUGUCGGCAUCGUCGUCCAUACCGUCGAUGUCUUCGGAGCCAUAAUCAAGCUCAUCGAUUAAGUCAUCGACAGUGGCUAUGAAGUGGGUGGCAGGUGGGAAGCUGAAUUCUCCAUCCUCAGCCCCUAGUUCGAACCGGACAUAGUUCGGCUGUGAGUUCCCCGCCAAGGACAGGUUCUUGAAAGAGUUUAGCACAUUUCCCAAAGGUGAGUGCUGAAAGAUGUCUGCGACGCUGAAUUCGAAGAUCGAUAAACGAUCAAGUUCAGCGUCCGCGGGCGUACGCAGUUCGGAACUUAUAGCCGGAUCUGACAUGGACGGUCGAGUAUGCAGUCCAAGCUGGAUGAGCCCAGAUUGCUUUUAUAUGGCUUCUUCCACUGGCCGGACUUGGAGCCACUGAAUCCGGCGUUGACUGCCGUGUCAUCGGUAUUGUGACCAUUGCUUCGACGCUUGUGUCUGUUGCGUCGGCUUGCCGUUGCUAUUUCUGGCUUCAGAAGUGCCAGGUUCGCUUGUACUGUUAUUGCUACGGGCUAGCCAGCUAUCUUCGCCCGCGCAAAAGCGGGUCAUAAGCGCCGUGAGGGCUACCAUGGACUUCGGCUUUUCUUGGCCGAGGUGUCGGGCGAGCCAUUCGUCGCGGAUGCUAUGUUUAAAGGCCGCUAGGGCUUCGGCUUCCCGACAGUCGACGAUCUGGUUCUUUUUAGUUAAGAACCUAGUCCAGAAUUUCCUGGCUGACUCUCCAGGCUGUUGAACUAUGUGACUUAAGUUGUCGGCAUCUGGAGGUUGGACAUAUGUACCUUGGAAGUUGCCGAGGAAGGCAUCCUCCAAUUCCUCCAAGCUGCCAAUUGAGUUUUCGGGCAGACUGUUCAACCAGUGUCGAGCUGGUCCCUUGAGUUUUAGCGGGAGGUAUUUGAUGGCAUGAAGAUCAUCACCGCGGGCCAUGUGAAUAUGGAGAAGAAAAUCCUCGAUCCAUACCGCGGGGUCUGUUGUCCCAUCAUAUGAUUUGAUGUUCACGGGUUUAAACCCUUCUGGGAAUUCGUGUUCCAUGACUUCAUCAGUGAAGCAAAGGGGGUGUGCGGCGCCUCUAUAUCGGGCCAAGUCGCGGCGUAGCUCGGAUGGAGUUCGUCUGCGGUUUUCAGCCCGGGCGUGGUUAUGUUUGUCACGUCCGGCCAGGUGGCCGUCGUCGCGCAUCGGGGCACGCCCCCGCGAUCCGUAGAUCGAUAUGGUCUGACCUGCUCUGUUCUCCAGGUCCUGCCGCAGGUCAUAUGUGUAUCCCCAAGCUGCUUUAUCUCUGCCUUUACGGUGAGGUAGUACGGGCUGGUGUUCAGCUUGAGUUGCCACUUUGUCCCGACCACGUGGUGGUCGAUCAGCUGCAUUACACGCUGAUGGUACGGGCCCAAGUGCCUCGUCGUCGAAUUGAGGUAGCAAUUUGCGCUUUGGGUAACUUUUGGUUGGGCGCUCGAGGACGUAUUCCUCGGCUGCCAGGACAUUAGUCCAUCUAUCGUUGAGCAGAUCUUGAUCAGCUUGAAGCUGUUGCUGCUUCUUUUUCAGGCUCCUUGCAGUGGCUAUUAGCUGGCGCUUGAAGCGCUCCUGCUCGAGAGGUUCCUCAGGCAUGAUAAAAUCCUCGUUGCCGAGGAUCACCUCAUCCUCGGAGAGCGGAAGGUAGUUACUGUCCUCCGAGUCUUUGUUUACAGCCUGUUCAUCAGGGCUGACUCGCCCAUCUUCCCGCUCGUCUUGUUCGGAGGUUGGCUUAACGGGGUCUUCAUUGUCUUCGGCAUCGUCUAGAGUAUUGUUUUCUCCUGUGCCGGUAUUGUUGUCUUUUCCGCGGCGUGGCUUAGAGCAGCGCUGCUGACGUUAGCACUUUGGCUGUAUCUUAGGUGGCUUGUCCUCGACUGGAUCUUCCUUGUCAUCGCCGCUAUUCUCUUUGGGUGUAUCCACCAUGUACGCAUCAUACGAAGAGGUGGCCGUCCAGCGUCCGGUAAACGGCGGGUUUUGGGCCUGUUCUUCUCCGGCAUCAUCGUCCAUACCGUCGAUGUCUUCGGAGCCGUAAUUGAGCAUGUUGGUUAAGUCCUCGACAGUGGCUAUAAAGUGGGUGGUGGGUGGGACGUAAAAUUCCUUGCUCUCAGCCCCUAGUCCGGGUUGGGCAUAGUUCGAACGUUGCUUCUUUGUAAUGACAAGGGAUCGUAUUAAGUCGAGAGCCUCGCUUAAAGGCGAGGUUUGGCCCGAGAGAAGAGAGCACGUGGAGUACGACGAGAGGGAAACUCCUUGGCCGAACUCACAUGAUGCUGGUUCCGAGGAUUCGGAGCCAGUGUCCGGAGAAGGGUCCGGCUCCGUGAUGGCUGCCAGCGAUACUACUUCCCCCGGCCCUCCCACAAUGGGCCUAAUGGCCGCUGAUAGUCCGGCGAGCUCAGGGAGCCCGUCUUUGGACCUGGCGAUACGCUCCGGAUCUAAGGCCAGAGCAGAGGUUGAGGGCGCGAAUCCUUGGAAGAUCAAGUCUCCUCGGAUAUCAGCGACGUAGUCCAGAUUUCCAAAACCAAUCUGGUGUCCUGGGGCGUAGCUGUCGAUCUGCUCUAGAUGGCCAAGCGAGUUGGCCCGCAGUGCGAAGCCGCCAAACACAAAGAUCAGGCCGGGGAGGAAAGCCUCCCCCAAGGCAGCGUUGUUUUAGAUGAUUGAUGGAGCCAUCGAACCUUUUGGUGACGACGCAGCGGAACUCUCAAUGAAAGCACCAAUGUCGGUGUCAAGACUGGUGGAUCUCAGGUAGGGGGUCCCCAACUGUGCGUCUAAGGUCAAUGGUAACACGAGACGGGGGACACGAUGUUUCCCCAGGUUCGGGCCCUCUCUAUGGAGGUAGUACCCUACUUCCUGCUUGAUUGAUCUUGAUGAAUAUGAGUAUUACAAGAGUUGAUCUACCACGAGAUCGUAAUGGCUAAAACCCUAGAAGUCUAGCCUAUAUGAUUAUGAUUGCCUCUACGGACUAAACCCUCCAGUUUAUAUAGACACCGGAGGGGACUAGGGUUGUACAAAGUCGGUUACAGAGAAAGGAAUCUUCAUAUCCGAACGCCAAGCUUGUCGUCCACGCCAAGGAGAGUCCCAUCCGGACACGGGAGAAAGUCUUUUGUCUCGUACCUUCACGGCCCAUCAGUCCGGCCCACGUUACAUAGUCCGGACGCCCGAGGACCCCUUAAUCCAGGACUCCCUCACCCUCCGUGGUGAUGGGUUGUGGGGGAUGGAUCUGAGGUCCCUGCCCAGAUCCGGUGGAUGGUGGGGUUGGUGUUGGCAGCGGUGGCUGGCGGCCCAGGCGCGGUGGCGGCGAGUCUCGCGGCCUCUGGGCAUCGUGGAGGUGCCGGCGGCGGUGAGUGCUUAGCCUGGUGGUGGCGGCGGCCGUGCACGGGAGUUGGAUUCCUUCGAAUAGAUCUGGGUGAAAACUUGCUUUCGGCUAUUGCCAAGGCCGGCGGUGGCGGCGUUAUCUGCAUCGCUCCCUUCUUGAAGGCAUCGCCGUGGAGAAGUUCAAGGCCACUCUCUGCUACCUCUGAGGAAAACCCUAGAUCGGAUGAUCGGAUGACGGCGGCGAUCUAGUGUCGUUCCCCCUUUGGGCGUCAUUCUUGGAGGUGCACACGUGAUCGAGGGACUAGAGGAUGGAUUCUUUGGUGGACGGUGCUUCAUCUCACUCAUGAUGGCGGCGGAUCUCGGCGGCAUGGCGCUAUGGUGACUCGGCGUCCGAUGCGCGGAGAUGGACUCGCGCAGGAGGGUGACGCGGUCUGGCGUCGUGGUGGCAUCGACGGCAGCUAGACCGGACAAGGUAGAUGCAGCAGUAUAGUUCAGAAGAUGGAUUGGUGGCAGGUGGCUGCGGCGGCCUCAUACCCGGCAGGCGUCCUGGUUGAGGAGUGCGACGGAUGCCCCAUACCCGGCAAGCGUCCUGGAUGGGACCUCAGGUCUUAGAUGGUAGGUUUGGCUGCGAGGUAUGUUUGGUAUUAAGCCCAGACUAUCCGCAUCCCUUCAUCAAUUGGAUAGGAGUAGCGACAGAUGUUGCCUAGAUGGUGGCUUUAGUCUUACUGUUGUACUUGCUUUGUAAGGUCUUGUGUGAAUAAUUAAUAAAAUGGAUGCAUGCAUCGUUCAGAUGCAGAGGCCGGGGGUCUUCCUCCAUUUCUAAAAAAACCCUUGAGAUAUUCUAGCGGUGCCACAAUCUCGUUUCUCCAAACCCGAUGAACGCCUGCUAAUUUGUCCAUGUCGCAAAAGGCUACAGAAUGAAGAUGACUAACUUAUACGAGCAAAGUCACCCUCGAAUGAACGUUUUUUUAUUGAGGGAACGUGCCCCUGCAACGCAACUAGGAUCAGAUCGCACGAGGCGAUCAGGAGGCGACGAGGACCUUGCGCGCCGCCGGUGACGCCUCCGGUUCCCUCUCUCUCUGUCGGCCGCUCCGGCGGCGGGAGGGAGAGGGAACCUCGGGUCUGUUUGCUAGGUGGGUGUGUGGUAGGGUUAGGGUUGAGGAAGACGCUACCGAGGCCGUUGCGGUGGUGUCGCGUCGGAAUAAGUUUCUCCGGGCUCCGUUCGCGGUCAGGCGAGGCUUUUGCCUUCGACUAGGAGUCAGCGGGGUUGGGGAUCCCCGGGUCUCGUCGAGGUCGCGGGCUUUGGUGGCUGGAGGUCCAUCGGCACUGGCCGUUUGGGUCCUCAGAUGGGCGAUGGAUUCAGGGAGACAAAGAUCCUUCUUUUUCCCUGUUGGUAUUAUUUGCUGAUGUUGUUCUUCUCCUUCCUCUGUGCUGAUGCUGGUGGGAGAUCCUGCUUUGUCCGGACGGAUGGCCUGGUCGCCGUGCUGGACCUGUCGGAUGACUCGAGUUCUCUUCCCUCCGGAAGGGACACUUUUCGCGGUACUCAAAGCCAAAGAUGGCGACGGCUAUUGCACGUGUGUUGGAUUGAUGUCCAUGCCCUCUCAGCGCUGGUGUCAAGAAAAGAGGAAGCAACGUAGCGGCAAUUGUACCAUGGUCGAAGAUGAUGACCUGCUUGCGACUGGUUGCAGAUCCUUCUGCUGCAGGGGUCUUCUCUCAAGAUUCAGGGAUGAUGACACAGGGCUCCGGAGAUCUUUUUGUGUUAUAGUUGUCUUAGGGUACUCUAGGUGUUCAUGGUCCUUUGUGUUUGCGUUUCAGUGUGCUUGUAAGGGUCAACUUCUUUGUACUGAUUCGUGAUAUGAAUGAAAAAAUUCUAAAAAAAAAAGCCACCCCCGAAUGGGCCAUCCAAUGGACCGACCCAAUAGACUGCCCUAUCGACGUCUGGGUUACGCAAGACAGGUCCAAGGCCAGACCAGGCCGACCUAUUUCCAUAUUUACUGAACAGGGGUAUGAUUUUCAAUCCAUGCAUAUUUUCAUGGACAGGAAAUGAACAUCCAUUAGGCGUAAAUAUGAAUUUGAUAUUACUCGACCAUGUAUACCUGACCCAUUGCCACUCCGAUGAAAAACACUAGCUGCAAAAAAAAAAAAUCAAUCUCCUCUCCCCUCCAUUGCAGCCAUCGCUCCAGUGUCGUAAGGCGGAGGGGCGUCGAUUCCUUUCUCGGUGGUGCUUGGUGUGGUGUUGCUAAGGAGCCCGAAAGAUUUUAUCCUUGUUGUUCUUCAUGGAUAACGGGUUGGUUAUGUGUGCCUACAUGGCUACAUCGACAGGGUUCCAUGUGCAUCCGUGACUUCGACAACCUCUGACUUCAAACUUUUGCGAUGACGAUAGCCUCCUCCUCCUACUGUCGUUACACUAUAUAUAGUUGCUCCGAUCUUGUAUGGAUUGAUCCAAUGUAAAUUUAAUUUAAUUUCUGGAAAAACUGACACGUUAGUACCAUCCUUUAAUACUAAAAAUAUGUUUGGCCUAUUUUCUUCCUUUUUCAUUCCAUGCCGACACUUUCAGCUUUCAUUUUCCGAAGCAAACAUGACAGACUUUUGCUAGCGGAAAGAACGUGUUUCAGGGACUGUGUAUCCCCCGUGUGUCGUCGCUUCUACCUUGAGAACAAGCUGAGACGUGGCAUCCCGGACGCGUCCAGUAGCUGCACACGUCCGGCCUCUCUUAAUUGGCGAGUCACUAGUCACCGGCUCCCACCGGCCAACCCACUCAUGCAAGCACACGUAGCGCCUCCGGCGAUCCUAUCCCCUCGCCGCAAACGGCUUAUAAAUUGCGCCUCGUGCUGGACCUGCUUCCGCAACCACGAGCUGCAGACUAACUGAGGAAGACAACACACCAGAUUUCUGAGAUAAUCAAGAUCAACACCUGUGCAACAUGGAGCACGGCCAGGCGACGACUAACCGCGUCGACGAGUACGGCAACCCGGUGGCCGGACAUGGCGUCGGCACCGGCGCCGGCGCGGCUCACAAGACCGGAGGGAUCCUGCAGCGCUCCGGCAGCUCUAGUAGCUCCAGCUCGGUGCGUGUACAUAUACUUGUUGCUUCUUGCUAACACUAGUUGUAAUUUUUGCAUUUUUCUCGUGUACAUUUUGUAUGAAACAAUAAAUCAAUUGUCUGAUUUUUCUUCUUCCUGGUGCUAGUCUGAGGAUGAUGGCAUGGGUGGGAGGAGGAAGAAGGGCAUCAAGCAGAAGAUAAAGGAGAAGCUCCCUGGUGACCACGGUGACCAGCAGCAGACCGCUGGCACCUACGGCCAGCAGGGACACACCGGAAUGACCGGCACUGGGGCGCAUGGCACCACGGCCACUGGCGGCACCUACGGCCAGCAGGGACACGCCGGAAUGACCGGCACUGGGACGCACGGCACCGAUGGCACCGGCGAGAAGAAAGGCAUCAUGGACAAGAUCAAGGAGAAGCUUCCCGGACAGCACUGAGGCCCCC